GAUGAACGCUGGCGGCGUGCCUAAUACAUGCAAGUCGAGCGAACGGACGAGAAGUUUGCUUCUCUGAUGUUAGCGGCGGACGGGUGAGUAACACGUGGAUAACCUACCUAUAAGACUGGGAUAACUUCGGGAAACCGGAGCUAAUACCGGAUGAUAUUUUGAACGGCAUGGUUCAAAAGUGAAAGACGGUCUUGCUGUCACUUCUAGAUGGAUCCGCGCUGCAUUAGCUAGUUGGUAAGGUAACGGCUUACCAAGGCAACGAUGCAUAGCCGACCUGAGAGAGGGAUCGGCCACACGGGAACUGAGACGCGGUCCUGACUCCUGCGGGAGGCAGCAGUAGGGAAUCUUCCGCAAUGGGCGAAAGCCUGACGGAGCAACGCCGCGUGAGUGAUGAAGGUCUUCGGAUCGUAAAACUCUGUUAUUAGGGAAAAACAUAUGUGUAAGUAACUGUGCACAUCGUGACGGUACCUAGUCAGAAAGCCACGGCUAACUACGUG
rnacentral:rRNA from 1 species